ACUGAAGCCACACACUCUGUGUGCUUCUUCUCGGAGCCAGAGGUCCACACCAAGCCCCAGGAAAAGCUCCUCUCCCUCAUUUCUGCCAGGCCUUCCUCUGACGAGGCUGUGCUCUCCUCUGAUGAGACCUGUGGUCCCAGCCAACACCCUGACAGGAGAGGGACCCUCAGGAAAAGCUCCGCCUCCUCAGUUGUUGCAGGAGGAAUCUUGGAAGAGCUGUCACUGGCUGGCCUGGGACUACGUGGACCUCCCGGCACCAUCACUGUGGCUGAAGAGGACUGGUGGUGGCCGGGGAGUCUGAAUCGAGGGACCAGAGGUGCAGACAGGGUCUCACUAUGUAGCCCAGGCUGGCCUCAAACUCACAGUGAUCCUCCUGCCUCAGCCUCCCAACUGCUGGGAUUACAGCCUUCCAAGGGUUAGGAUCACAGGCGUUCACCUCCCGAGGGCUAAGACCACAGGGGUUCGCCACCACUCC
ensembl:lncRNA